rnacentral:rRNA from 1 species
AUUGAACGCUGGCGGCAGGCCUAACACAUGCAAGUCGAACGAGUGGCGGACGGGUGAGUAAUGUCUGGGAAACUGCCUGAUGGAGGGGGAUAACUACUGGAAACGGUAGCCAAAACCGCAUACCAUCGGAUGUGCCCAGCUGGGAUUAGCUAGUAGGUGGGGUAACGGCUCACCUAGGCGACGAUCGCUAGCUGGUCUGAGAGGAUGACCAGCCACACUGGACUGGAGACACGGUCCAGAUUCCUACGGGAGGAAGAAGUGGGGAAUAUUGCACAAGGGGCGAAAGCCUGCUGCACCAAUGCCGGGGGUAGGAAGAAGGCCUUCGGGUUGUAAAGUACUUUCAGCGGGGAGGCGUUACCCGCAGAAGAAGCACCGGCUAACUCCGUGCCAGCAGCCGCGGUAAUAC